rnacentral:rRNA from 1 species
UGAGGAAUUUUCGGCAAUGGGGGAAACCCUGACCGAGCAACGCCGCGUGCAGGAUGACGGCCUUCGGGUUGUAAACUGCUUUUCUUUGGGACGAGUAAGGACGGUACCAGAGGAACAAGCCCCGGCUAACUACGUGCCAGCAGCCGCGGUAAUACGUAGGGGGCGAGCGUUGUCCGGAGUUACUGGGCGUAAAGCGCACGCAGGCGGUCCGUUAAGUUUGGAGUGACAGUUGGUGGCUCAACCACCAAAGUGCUUUGAAAACUGGCAGACUUGAGGGCUUCAGAGGGACACGGAAUUCCGGGUGGAGUGGUGAAAUGCGUAGAGAUCCGGAGGAACACCGAAGGCGAAGGCAGUGUCCUGGGGAGUACCUGACGCUCAGGUGCGAAAGCCAGGGGAGCGAACGGGAUUAGAUACCCCCGUAGUCC